AUCCUUCCAUGUGAGAUCGUAUUUUUUGUUUUUCAUGGUUUUGCAGCAGCAGCAGCAGGGGUUGUGGUAUCUAUGGGGCAGAGGUCGUCUAGGGGAUGCUAUGAACCCAACUAAGGUCCUGAUGAUGGUUUCUAAAACAGUGAGAGUUGCGGGGAGAGCAGUGCUCAUGUUUUAGCCUUGUUUAGUUGUAUUGCACUCCAGAUUUGAUCUUGUUUAGUCUUUAGUAAAAAAAUCACCCAACUGCUUCAAGUUUAUUCAAUCUUAGCAGUAAUACAAAAAAUCAUUAGUUAUCAGUGUUUUUGUGUUUAAUCCAAUCUUAUCUAUCAUUUUUUUGUCAGCCUUCUUUCUCCCUGUUUUUAGUUCUCAGUUAUCUAUUUUUUUAGAUCAUUGGUUAUCAUUCACAUGUCAGUGUGUUUGUAUUUAGUUUAUCAUUCAGCUUUGUAUUUAUUUUUUGUCUGUCAUCUUCUUCUAGUUGAUCAGUCCAUAUUGUCUUUCUUAUCGGUUUUGUCAUUAGUAAUUAGUUAUUAGUCUUGUUUUGUCCUCUAUGUUAGUUAGUUCAUCAGUGUAUUUAGUUUUUAGUUAUAAUUUAUAAUUAUUUUGCCUUACUAUUUAUCAUUUUCCAGCUUCCAUAUCAUUCUUCAUUUAUCAGUCAUCUGCAUUGUUUCUUUCUCCCUGUUUUUAGUUCUCAAUUAUCUUUUCUUGGAUCAUUAUUUAUCAUUCAUAUGUCAGUGUGUUUGUAUUUAGUUUAUCAUUUAGUCUUUGUAUUUAUUUUCUGUCUGUCAUCUUUUAUUGUUUUCAGUCUUGUUCAUCAGUUCCUUUCAAAUUUUUUUGCUCAAACUAAUCUUUGUGUAUUUUUAAAAUUAAACCGUAUCAGUCUUCCAUUUUUUAGGUCGGUCAGUUUCAUUCUUUGUUUUCAUCUAGGUGUAUUUGUUUAUAUCUAGAGCUCCCAAUUAACCUAAUUUAUGAGAAAAGUUUUCACGGUCCAAACAACGCCUAAGUUGGUUUCGAUUAUGAGGCUAUGCCUUUUUUAAAAUUAUGGUUCUAAAAGCCAGGGCACACGUGCAACGCAUUUUUCAGUGUCACGCUAGCGAAAGCCUUUUCAUUAAUGUGUUCACUUAUUAGGUCUUCAGUCAUUCGAUUGUCAUCUUGAGUCGUUGUAGUUCACUUAUUAGGUUUACAGUCUUCUUUUCUCUUCUGCUGUCUGUUUUAUUCAGUCAUUGUUGUUCAAAUUUCCUCUAAUUUUCUUCAGUUUAUUCAAGUAUAAUUUUUCCUUGAUCUUCUUUUGCUUAGUUGCUCUUAGUUCUAGGCCAUACAGAAUUCUUACUCACUCUUAGUUUUAGUAAAUCUACAUUUAUCAACAGUUUUUUAUAGUUUGUUUUUACACAUAAUUAGUUAACCCUAGGUGUACUCAUAUUGGAUCUUACAUGCUUAUUCCUAUCUAGUUUUCGGUCAGAGACCAGAUGAAAGUAGUUUUCAGACUAGUAUUACUAUAUAUAGAAGAAAGGUCAGCCAGCAUAGCGCUGCAAGUUCGACAUUGUCUGCUCGCGCUAGGGAUGGAAUGGAAGUUGUCAUAAAUUAUAUCAUGGGAUCAGUGCUCCUUUUUCUAUGAGCUUGUAUCAUUUAGCUAUUAUUCAGUUUCUUGGAGUUUAGGCUUGGAAUGGAUUCGCUAUACCAUGGAUCAUGUGUUAACUUGUAUCAGUGUUGUACUGGCCUCUCAUACUUAUAUGAUUUGGAUGAAUAAGGUAACAAAUUUUUUCUUUUGCAUCAUUGUCCUUUCAUACAUUUCAGAUUUUGAUGAAUUGCAGGAGAUCCUUAUAUUAUUUCUUCAGUGUUUUAUCAGUCAGUGAGCUAGAACCUAGUUCUUGGUUAGUUUAAUCUUUCUUCGGUUUCUAUAUGUUCCUAGGUGAAUUAUCAGUACUGUUCAGUGUUACAUUCGGUGUUUCAUUACUUUCUUUCUUCAGAUUUGUCCAUGCUUUUCAGUUGUGAUAUAUGGCACUUUUGCAAAAAAAAAUCUUCAGUUCUUCAAAUUUUCUAUCCAGUUUUUUUUCAUUGUCUUAUAUCUCUUACUUUACUUCAUUUACUUUUUUGUACUCGUAUAAUUCUCAUUUCCUCAUUCUUAUUCUUCAAUCCUUUCUUUUUAUAUGACUUACCACUCUUUCAAUCUUUCGCCCUAUUCAUUUAAUUUUACCGAAAAAGGGUUUCCCCCCGCUUUGUAUACAAAGCAACCAACCGAACCAUACAGGGAUAGGUGCUAGGAUGGAAGCAGCACAGUCACGCCCAAACGAAACGACAGAGAAAAGCAAAAGAAACAAUUGUAGGUGUUAUUUAAUUAUUUAAUUGAACGGUUCAGGGUUUGAAGAUGUUACUUAGGAACAACCAGAAUUGUUCGAUAUUUCUCUGCAAAUAAAAGAACCACUUGAUAUUAUAGAAGACAGGUGUCGACCAUUGCUGACUUUUUGAUUGAAAAGGCAGCAAGUAUUUUAGGGUACCACAUAGUGCGAAGACACACAAUACGAGAGAGCAAGUUGCGUCAAUCUCUGAGAGAUCAUCAAAGUUCAGUUCGACUACUGUACGACAUGUCACCUUCUGACAUCAGCUGAACACUGCUAUAACUAAAUGCCAGUCUAUAGUUGGCCAGCUAUCCCUGAAUAACUGGAGAAGGCAGGUCCGUAGUUUGGGUAUAGUCUAGUUUGAGUACUAAACAGAAGUGUAUGUACACAGCAAGGUCUUUGUUCAGGUUCAGAUAUACUUGUACUGUUUAGGUUUCAGAGAAGUGCAUGUAAACCAUUAACUGAAUUUAGGAUUCUUGUGUCCACGGCCAAGGUCUAUCAGCACAAAAGGCCAAGGUCACUAGUUUAUUUUUUACAUCUUUGUUUCAGUGUUGUAAUCAGUCAUCUUUCUCUCUAUCAUUGGUCAUUCAGCUUUCAGUUAUUAGUUUCAUGAUUAGUCA